GCCCUCGUGGCCAAAUGGAUAAGGCCUCGGUCUCCUACACGGAUUGCGUGUUUGAAUCCCGCCGAGGGUA